rnacentral:lncRNA from 1 species
AUCUCCCUCGUAGUAUAUUUUAGUAUCGCAUCUCCUUCCAAUUAACUCUUUUUCUGUAAAUCUAAGAUUUCCCUAUUAGUAUAUAUGUCGAUAGUGUGUACUGUAUAGAUUAUACUGAUAAAUUAAUUGAUCGAAGGGUAAAUGUGCACAGCUUUCCAUUUAAAUGGCUGCCCCAAAAACGGGUAUUUGGGCCUUCGCCUGCUACUUAAACGGGUAUUACUCCGUUUAUACUUUGUACGUUUUCCUUUCUCAUUCUGAACGUAUGUUAGAUCUCCUAAUCUUGCUUAGCUUUCAAUUAUCCUACAUGAGUUUGUUAGAAAAAAUUACUACUACAAUAUUGAUACCAACAACAAUUAAAAGUAGGAGCAAAUUAUCACGAACACUGUCACGACCUUGAAAGUGAUUUUGGCCCGAGAAGGAUGUGAAUCAUUGUUGAUGAUCUUGAAAGGGAUUUUGGCCCGAUAAGGAUGUGAAUCAUUGUAGAUGGUCACUCCCAAGGUUCACUGUCUUUCAAAUACAUGCACUCGUGACUGAAAGUUAAAAUACAUAACGUUAGUGAAAGAGCUUUUUAUUUUCUUAUCUAUAUUUAGUUUACUAAAGAUGCUUCUUAAAUAGGAUCAUCAUUUACGUUUUCAUCCAUCAGAGGAACUUAAAAAAAAGGCAGCCCGGUGCACUAAAGCUAUCGCUAUGCGCGGUGUCCGGGGAAGGGCUCCACCACAAGGGUGUAUCGUACGCAGCUUUACCUUGCAUUUCUGCUCUGCUAGAGGCUGUUUCUAAGGUUUGAACCCGUGACCUCCUGGUCACAUCAGAAGAACUUAAGAAGCCAAAAUAAAGUUAAUGUAAUGAAACACUACUCUUGCUUUAAUGAGAAAAUUGUCAUGAUGAAAAACUCAUAUCCUUGCUGUAAGAUAUGGCCUUAUUUGACAUCUGCCAAUUUACAUGGUCACAUAUAUUUCAUGGAGCCAAAGUACUGUUAUGUGGUAGAAAAUUUGGCCAUGUAUUAUUUUCUCUAUUAUAAACUUGGAGCCCAAGUUAUAAAAGGAGAGUUAUUUAUGUAACUUAACCAUCCCUCUUCUUUUUUUUUUUUUUGAUAUAUUUUGG